AAAUUCUCUCUAAAUUCCCCAAUAUUCCCUGCAAUAUAACCAUAGAUGGAAGCCAAGAGGCAAUAAAUGACAUAAGGACACAGAUGGCAUCUACUAUUUUAGCUUCAUCGGAACCUUUGGAAAGUGUUUGCCAGUUUUGUGGCUGCAUGGAUAUAGAUGUGAAUUCACUGUGGAUUCAGUGUGAUGAUUGCUUGCUGUGGAUGCAUGCCACAUGCACAGGUCUGGACCAGAACGAGGUGGACUUGAUAACCAAUGACAACAGUCCAUGGUUUUGUUGUUUUUGUGAAAAACAACAAAAAAGUGAAAAACAGAGGAAAAAACAACAACAAAAAAGCGAUAAAGAUCAUUUUUUGAUAUGUGGUUUGGAGUCAAAUGGAGCAUGCAUGGGAAGGUACACAUUUUCUUUUUCUUCUUGGUUCUAACAAGAUAAACAAUCAAUAACAAAGCUGUUUAUCAAGAAUUACAAGCUGUUUUUCAAGAAUAACAAUUUAUAAAGUUAAAAAGCAAUCAAAUAUGUUAACAUAAUCUAUAAAACAUGAUUUUUAUUUAAUAUCAGUGAAAUUAAAUAUAUACACAGUUGAAAGGAUAUUCAACUUACUAAAUUUAAAAAUAGCUUUGGGUAAUGAUUUGUACUUCACGUCCAAACUAUACUGUAAAAAGAAUGACUGCUUUUUUCCUAUUAAAGGUCAAAUGUUGAAUAAUGGUCUGUGUAGACAUCUGAUGCGGACAUUUUCUGUAAACCUGAGAUAUCUCACAAUGGUAACUGUGAUCAUACAGUGUGUAAAGAUUACUGUAUGUAAAGUAACUGUACUACAUGUAAAGCUUAAUGUACUAUGUGUUACUUUAAGCAUACUGUAUUA